rnacentral:rRNA from 1 species
AGAGUUUGAUCCUGGCUCAGGACGAACGCUGGCGGCGUGCUUAACACAUGCAAGUCGAACGGAAAGGCCCUGCUUUUGUGGGGUGCUCGAGUGGCGAACGGGUGAGUAACACGUGAGUAACCUGCCCUUGACUUUGGGAUAACUUCAGGAAACUGGGGCUAAUACCGGAUAGGAGCUCCUGCUGCAUGGUGGGGGUUGGAAAGUUUCGGCGGUUGGGGAUGGACUCGCGGCUUAUCAGCUUGUUGGUGGGGUAGUGGCUUACCAAGGCUUUGACGGGUAGCCGGCCUGAGAGGGUGACCGGCCACAUUGGGACUGAGAUACGGCCCAGACUCCUACGGGAGGCAGCAGUGGGGAAUAUUGCACAAUGGGCGGAAGCCUGAUGCAGCAACGCCGCGUGCGGGAKGACGGCCUUCGGGUUGUAAACCGCUUUCGCCUGUGACGAAGCGUGAGUGACGGUAAUGGGUAAAGAAGCACCGGCUAACUACGUGCCAGCAGCCGCGGUAAUAC